GUAGUCUCGCACAGAUGCAUAUCAAUAAGCGGAGGAAAAGAAACUAACAAGGAUUCCCCUAGUAACGGCGAGUGAAGCGGGAAGAGCUCAAAUUUGAAAUCUUAAAGGGUUUCCCUUUACGAAUUGCUAGUUUAAAGAAGUGUUUUCUGUUGAGGUUUUGGUAAAAGUUCUUUGGAAUAGGACAUCAUAGAGGGUGAGAAUCCCGUAUUUGACCUUUACUUUUCAACUUUGUGAUACACUUUCAAAGAGUCGGAUUGUUUGGGAAUGCAGUCCAAAAUGGGUGGUAAAUUUCAUCUAAAGCUAAAUAUUGGCGAGAGACCGAUAGCGAACAAGUACCGUGAGGGAAAGAUGAAAAGAACUUUGAAAAGAGAGUUAAACAGUACGUGAAAUUGUCAAAAGGGAAGCGUUUGACACCAGUGUUGUUUUUCUGAAAAUCAAUUAAAGAACUGUUUAUGCUAAGCUGUUUAGACUUUAUCAGCUAACUGUUUAGUUUUGAGCUUUUCUUUAAUGCACUUUUCAGUUAACAAGUCAACAUCAAUUUCUUUUGCUGUAAAAAAGCUUGAGGAAGGUGGCUUGAGAUUCGUCUUAAGUGUUUAUAGCCUCUUGCCUAUGCAGUCGGAGAGGAUUGAGGUCUGCAGCGUAAAUCCUUCGGGGCUAAAUGCAUUUGUGCUAAGUUAUAGCAUUUUAUAGACAACUUGUUGACUAUGAUUUGUCUUGUAGCUUACUCGCUUAUGUUAUUUUACCUACGCUUAGGAUGUUGAUCUGUAGUGCGUGCGC
rnacentral:rRNA from 1 species